GACGAACGCUGGCGGCGUGCCUAAUACAUGCAAGUCGAGCGAGACUCUUCGGAGUCUAGCGGCGGACGGGUGAGUAACACGUGGGCAACCUGCCUGUAAGACUGGGAUAACACCGGGAAACCGGUGCUAAUACCGGAUAAUCCUUUUCCUCUCAUGAGGGAAAGCUGAAAGUCGGUUUCGGCUGACACUUACAGAUGGGCCCGCGGCGCAUUAGCUAGUCGGUGAGGUAACGGCUCACCAAGGCGACGAUGCGUAGCCGACCUGGGAGGGUGAUCGGCCACACUGGGACUGAGACACGGCCCAGACUCCUACGGGAGGCAGCAGUAGGGAAUCUUCCACAAUGGACGAAAGUCUGAUGGAGCAACGCCGCGUGAGCGAUGAAGGCCUUCGGGUCGUAAAGCUCUGUUGUUAGGGAAGAAUAAGUACCGGAGUAACUGCCGGUACCUUGACGGUACCUAACCAGAAAGCCACGGCUAACUACGUGCCAGCCGCCGCGGUAAGAC
rnacentral:rRNA from 1 species